rnacentral:lncRNA from 1 species
ACAGCACCGGGCCCGACUACGAAGCCGACGUCCCCUUUCGCCGUCGCCCUCGUUGCUGAGCCCUCCGGCGCCGCCGACGGUGGCUCCCGCGCCGAGCCUGAGCCUCGGGGCUCCGAGCCCGUUGCAGAGUGAUCAGGUACGCACCGCUUCCCUCACGAAGUUCAGUGAAGUUCGCGAGCUCUUCUUCUUGUUGUGCUGCGAAACCGUCCUCAAAAAGACGGCGAACGUAAGCUUAUAGCCGACGGAUUUUGCUUAGGUCAGGAGCCACUUAGCCAGUGGAGUUUGCCUAGAAAGACGGGAAAAAAAAUAUUAUUGUUAGCUUCUUUUAGAUCCAUUAUGAAUAGUUUCACUAUUCAGAUUGAUAGAUCUCAUCUGAGGGAUGGAUUGACAUUUUAUCAAAUUGAAUGCUCUCCAGUUUCACUUAUAAAGAGAAAAAAAAAAGGGUUUACUAGUCUAAAUAGGUCUUCGGGUUAAUACUAUUAAAAUUCUAGAUCAUACCUCAGACCAGUUAAAAUGUAUAUGUGUUAAUACCAGUGACAGACCCUGCAAAUAGAUCUGAGUUAGAUAAUGACAAAUCCGAUGUGGAAAAAUCAUGGAAACUUAAUGAGAGUACAUUUAGGUCAGAAGUAUUAGUUUGAGAUUUUUUCGUGAAAAAAAAAAUUUUGUUUAAUAUAAUUGUGCUAGAAGAUAUCAAUUUGAAAUUUUUAAUGAUAUUCUAGCCUCCUUUUGUAAUUGAUGUCUGCAGUUAAUACCGUGGUCCUUGGAUUGGAGUAGGAUUUGGGUUGGGUGUGGGUCUGGACCAAAAUUUAACGGGCCUGACUAGCUUGCGGGGGUGUGCUGUGGUAGGGCCAAGGGGUUGGGCUAUGGAAAUGACGUAGCCAAGAUUUCUAAAUUUGGAAUUUUGCAAAAGCAAAAGAAUUAGAAAAUAGAGAUGAUAGUCUAGGCUGAAAGUCCCUUAAAACUUGGGUUUUUCAAUUGGAUGAAUUAGCUAAUUUCUUUCUCGAUGAGAUCUUUAUGAUCUCGUCACAAAAUUAGAAUUUGAACUGGUGGGGUAGUUAGGUGGCAGUUCUUUCUCGAUGAGAUCUUUAUGAUCCAUAAGAUCUUUUUCGAAGAUGAUGUCGCGGCGUCUCCAUCUUUAGCUUAGUCUGAAAGAAUGACAUUCCUUUGAAAUACUCAAGUUCUGUCCUCAGUUGCCAGCAUUUGUUCAUGAGUGUUCAUUGUUUAGAGCUGCGUGAUCUUAUUGCACUCCUGACUGCAAAGCCCUCUUCUUUUCACUUGCUGCAAAAAAUGCUGCAAGCCCUUUCUUUGUUUCUGCUGUAAUUCUCUCUGUUAAUGAUUUCACAAAGAUGGGGUUUCCCGAUUAGACCUCGUGGCGUUAGGUACUGGUAAUUGUCGACAAAUUAUGACCAACCAACUACACCAUUGCGUAUGUUAAGUAUCCGAAAAUCUUGUUCAGCUGUCGUGUUUUCGCCCGGCGACAAUAGGUAGAGCAAUCAUGAUCUUGAUUGAUCCGGUACAGUUGCUGAGGGAAUCUACUUUCCAUAAAUUCUGGGAAGAUGUUGACAUGAAAAGGUUACUGGGCUAAAUCAAGAACUCAUCUGUCAAAUCCUUCAGUGCCCCUAAACAACCUGAUUUAGAUCUAACCGGGCUUCAUUUUCUUGGGUCAUUAUCUUGUUAUAAACGCUGAGUUUCUUCCUCCUCUAUGCAGAGUGGGGCAGAGAAGAUCUUGUCGGUCCAGAACAUGGUGGGCAGCUUGGCUUUGGGCUGGGCUCUCAUGGGGUUGCUACUCUAGAGCAUUAUGAUAUACAGCUUCAUGAUUUAGUUCUAUUUACUCCUGUCUCCACACUAUGUUAUUUCACCACUAUCUUUGAUGGGACUACCGCAUGUAUUUUGAGCUCUUUUUGUAUUUUUUUUUUCCCACACAUUUGAGUUGGAUUCUUUGGGAGAGAUUUUUGAGGAGGGGAGGUUCCUGUUGUUGAGGAGAUCUGUUAUUUGCAUGUGUUUGUUAAACUAGCAAAACCUCUCUCUCUCUCUCUCUCUCUCUUCUUUUUCCAUGUUUCAGCCUUGCGUUAUAAAUCGUAUAGUUCAAAAGUCUCUGGUGAGCUCAAUUUAAGUUCAAUGCUGCAACUGUAACCAAUCUAUAUUUUUAUAGGCAUAAAAACUAAUUAAAAUGUCACAUAUUAUGAACCUAAACUCGAUUCCGACCACUUACGAGAUGCACAAAAUAUUCGACAAAUCUAAAUAAAUUUUAAAUUAUAUAUAUAUUUACAAUCUUCAUAAGCAUCAAAAGAUCUUUGACAUACUUACCUUUUCACCAAACAAAAAAAAAGAUCUUUGACAUAUAAGGGUGUGUGUAAGAUGAUCACAAAUGGGAUUCCUUGCACUUAACUAUAGAGAAAAGAACAAAAGAAUUAGCACUUUUUCGCCUUCCAUGCUCGAACUUUCAUAAAUGUUAAACUUUUUUAUAUAACUAGCUUUAUAGCCCGCGCGAUGUACAGUCGAUUAAAGAACGAUAACUUUUAAAUGAAAAAUACAACAUCCAAUUGUGUGAACUUUAGAGGAGAUAGGACCUCAUAUGACUAACCCUUUUUGCCAUCAAUAUUUCUGUACUUGCUUAUUUGGAUUGGGCCACCACUCGACCUCUCUCGCACGGAUUCCUCGUUCAAACGACUCCUAGCUCCGUGCACUCUACGUACCACAAACAAGCAAGUGCCCUCGAGGUGAACUUUAUGGGGUGUCAGAAUCCAAUCGGAAAACGGAAUUGAAAUCAAGCCAAACCUAAUCAAUAUUUCGUGCAAGUUUGGUUCAGUUGAAAUAAUUGAAAAAAUAAAUGUGCUUCUUUUUCUGGUUUGGAUUAUUUUGAUUUGGUUCGGUUAACAAAGCCGAACUGCAACCAAAAUCUCAACAAAAACUGAAGCCUCAACUUAAAAGUCUCUCUUCUUAGUUCGGUUCAUGCUCAUUUCGGGGCACGAAGGAAAACCAAAAACUAAUUCAAUCCAAACCUAUCCGAAUCGGGUUUUCAUAUUAGUUCAUACUUAGUUUGGAGCACAAUUCGAUUUCGUUCAACUGCUCAAACUAUCGGUUUGAUUCAAAUUUCUUAAAAUCCAAACCGAACUAUUGACCCCCCUAAUAACCUUUCACGGACCUUUUGAUACUCAAUUCAAAAUUGCUUUAGAGAAUGUAAUGGUAGUGUGAUGGCCAAUGUGUGCAAAAAAUUCUCCUACCUCAAGUGGGUUUAUUUUGGAAAAUUUAUACUUACUUUGAUAGCCGGCGACUCUCCAAAUUUUGGAGAAGUUGCAUCAUUGGGCAUUCUUUCUCCAAAAUGAGGGUAAAACCGCUAGCGGAGGCACGGUUGUUCGGGUCCGGAUAACUGAAUUCGCACUCCCCUUUCGCCCACUUUUCCGGAUACUCCAUCUCAUUCUUCUUCCUGAACUGAAUUGGACCUUUAGUUGAUGAACCGGCCUCGCUUCUGGUUCGUUGGAAAAAUCAGCUGACUUCUCCCUUCUUCAUUGAUCUUACAAAAAAUCGACUUGUUGCGAGUCUAAGUUUGAUCGAUAUAAGCAUAUAAACAUGUAAAAUCAUGUCAAUUUGUGCCAAAAAGAGAAUGUCAAGAUUAGGAAAUUGCCCCUUUUUUGGCUGCCUUUGGGAAUAGGCCUUGGACACCCAAAGCCCUUUUGGGCAAAUAUUGAGUGUUUGAGAUAAAUUUUACAAACUCCCUUAGGGGAAAGUUAGCAUUAUGUAAGCUGAAAGCCCAAGGCUAGUUUUGGGGUGCCUUGGGCUUUUAGCUCUCUUAGCAUGCAAAUAUUGACCGUUCAUCUUCUUCGUUCAUUGUUCAUCUUCUUCGUUGAAGGCGGCCGUCGGGGUUGCGUAGGGCUACGAGGGGUCAGCAACAAGCUAGAGGAAGGCUAGUGAUAGUCAUAGUGACCCAAGCGACCAUCGCUGGGGCGUCGCGGUGACCUUCGCGAGGGGCCAUGUGAUUUGGGUUGUUGUGACCUUGCCGGGGCCAUGCGACCUCAAGAGAGGGUCGCGCAACCCCCCGAUGAGGUCGCGUGACCCCAGGCGGCCCUCAUCGAGGCCACACAACCUUAAGCGAGGGUCACUAUCGCGACCUACCCCUCAAGGGGAGGGAAUAGGUUUAGGGGUAUUGUCUAAAGAUCGGGCCUACGACCCAUGAUUAGGCACAGGUUCUCCUGAAUCCAUAUCUCGCGCGACAUUAGAGGAUUUAUAAGAAUUUUGUAAUAAGAAGUCGCCACUCACCUAAACCAAGUGAGGCGUGAGAGUAUACCUUACUUCCUACGCAAUCAGAGAAUCUAGAUUCAAGAACUUGAUUACACUAAUUAAUCAAUUAGUAUUAUUUCAGUACCUAAUCUUGUUUAUUUUAUUUUUUAAAUGAUGUUUUUGUCAGGCAACCUAGAUUGAUUUUAUACCUAUCCAUUAACGAUCAUACAAGUGCACAAUCAUUAAAAUAACAAUUAGUAACCAAGGUGAUAACUCUAUAAAAAUAGAGUUAUUUUACCUAUUUUAGACAACAAUUAAUGCAAUAUCUAUGAGAAAAUAUUUGGAUUUCCUUCUGAUUAUUUCGAAUUUUCCUUAUANNNNNNNNNNNNNNNNNNNNNNNNNNNNNNNNNNNNNNNNNNNNNNNNNNNNNNNNNNNNNNNNNNNNNNNNNNNNNNNNNNNNNNNNNNNNNNNNNNNNGCUUCAGAGUACUGGUUUUCAUCGAUCUCCGUGGGACGAUCAAGUAUUUAAUUAGUUUAAUCUUUUUUAGUAUUUAAUUAGUUUAGAAAUUCUAAAUGUAAGUGAACGUGUCGAUCAAGUAAUAUAAUGAUAAGAAAGAGUAUCGUCCCACGGAGAUCGAUGAUUAAUAAACUAAUUAAAUACUAAAAUAGAUUAAUUUAUCUAAAGAUCAAAAUAUAAUUGAGAAUAAAUUAAAAACAAAAUUUGGAGACUAAAUGUAGUAAAUCAAUCAGAUAAAUAUGUUAGAGCAUCCGAUUUUACCAUAACCACUAGAUAUGAAUUUCAGAUUGUUGUGGGUACAAGGACGAUAUCAAAUAUGUGAUAGCGGAAUUUCCUAAUCUAUUACUAUUCUAUCUCUAGGUAUAACAAAUCUACUUGGUUUAUUAAUCCAUUAUAUCUCUAUGUGAAUUAAAAUAAAUAUAAGUGCAUUAAAAACUAUGAAUAUUCCCGGCUUACAAUGAGUCUUUUGGAUCACCGAAAGUUAUACAAAUAACGCGGUAUAUCUCUAUCCAAGUUUAAUUCAUGGUUAUAUAUUAUAAUGAGCAAUUGCAUAUUAUCACUUAUCAGUCUCAAAUAUCAACAUCAGAUCAUUCAAGUGGUGGCCAGUCACUCAAAAGCAUUAUGCACAAUAAUAUAUAACUCACAUGAAUGAAAUCAAUUGUAAAACAUAAAAAUCAUGAAAUUCACAUCAUCAUGGUUAAGCUACAUUGUAGCCUUAACAAAAGAAAACUAGAACAUAACAAAUGAAGAAAUAAAAAUAUAAAUCAAAUCCAACAUCUUGAAUCAAAGAACAAGAAUUCUGUCAGCACUUUGGUAUUCUCUUCAAAAUACUUGAAAAAACUCUAAAAAUAGUGAAAAACGAUCUAACGAAAACCUAACUUCUCUCUCCCUCAAUGUUCUCCUAUUCAUAGGAUAUAUCCAAGAUGCUUAUCUCCAAGAAAUUACGCACAAAGUUAAAGAGUAAAUCAAAGGAUUUUGAUUUGAUAUCUAUCUCCCAAUACUUGCAGAUAACAUUAUAGAAUAAAAUCAAGCAUUCCCUAAUUUGAUGUCCAUCUUCCAUUGUUUUUUUUUUUUUUGAAUUCCUGAUUUUUGCCAUUAUUUUCCUUAUCUUCUCAAUAUCUCAUUAUUCUGCAUAAAUAAGGAAAAUUCAAAUAGUUAGAAGAAAAUCAAAAUAUUUUUUCAUAGAUAUUGCAUUAUUUGUUGCAUAAAAUAGGUAAAAUAACUCUAUUUUUAUAGAGUUAUCAAACCAAAUGAUUAAAUAAAUUGUAUGGAAGAGCAAAAAUUUAACAUCAAAGAAAAGAUAAAUACUAAUCCUAACUAGAUUAAAGGGAAGCCAAAAUCAACAUACCAAAAUUGCACAAUCGAGGAUAGUCGUCUUUAAGGACAACUAAAACCUCUUGAGUAGGAAUCUAAAUUGAAAGACUUCCAUUUUUUAGAAGAAAAUGAACUAAGAGAUUAAUUUAAACAUUUUUAAAUAUUUUUUAAUUAAUAAUUUUUUUUAAAAAAUAUUGAAUUUUUUUUGGAAAAAUUGAAUUUUUGAAUUUUCCAAAACCUUUUGAUUUUUGAUUGUUUUUUUGGUGUCUUUCUAAUUACUACUAAAUUUUUUAGACUUUUCUGAAUUUUGGAAUUUUCUGAGAAAUUUUGAAUUUUCCUUAAUUUUCUUGUUUUAAUUAAUUUUAAAAAAACUCGAAUUUUCAAUAUUUUCUGAAAUUUUUUUGAAAUUUUUUUAAUGUUCUUUGAAAGUUGUUAAAUUUUUGGAAAAUAUUUUGAUUUUUCCUAUUUUCGAAAAUUUUUAAUUUUUUUUGAAAUUUUUAAUAUAUUUUUAAUAUUUAAUAUUAUUUUAUUCGAAAAAAGGGUUCGACCGGGUGGGACCGAUCCAAUCCUAGCCCAUGUGGAUUAAAAAAGGAAAACCUUUUUUUAAAUUUGUUUAAUUAAUUUUUAAAUCUAUUUUUUUUUGGUAAUAUUUUAAUUUUUUUUAAAUGAUCUUUGUAAUUCCCUUUUUCGUCUUUUCCUCACUUCGUCCUUUUCCCUGCACACUCUGCUCGUUGAUCCUUCCCAAAGCCAACACUUGCAUGUUAUGGUUUUCUAUUUUUUAUAACCUUUUUUUGUUUUGCUUUUUUGCUUUUUUUUAUUCUUUAUUUAUUUAUUUUCUUUACUUCGUCCCUUCCCCCUGCACGCCUUCAACCCUCCCGAAGGCUGUCUUCUCCUUCCACGCGACACUCUUCACGAAAUUUGUUUCUUUACCAAAACUCAUUCAAACAAUAACAACAACCGAAGCACCCAGCAUCCCUUCCAACACCAAAUCACCCUGACCGGCGCAAAUCACCGCCGGCCAUCUAACUCCGGCAACGGCUGAACCAAUUUCGGAUGCGGACAUCACCCGGCUUAAACAUACAUAAUUACUCCACGAGAAUCGCAUGAAAUCAUAACGAAAACAUAAAAAAAGGGGCACGGUCCCGCAUAUAUAUGACCAAGCACAAAUCAGAACGAGUUUGAACUCAGGUUGUUUCUCGGUUCUCUUUGAGACAUUUUGUCAAACAUAUGUGGUGCAUCAGCUAGAAGGAGGACCUAGGCUCGGUUGGAGCAGAAAACAUCAACACGACAUGCACGAACGACACACUCAAGAUCCGCUAAGGGACAUAUUAAUCACACUAGAACAGAUAUGAACACAGCAAGUAUCACGACAUACUCACGGGCUCAAAUCUCUUUCAGGCAUUUCAACAACCGGUUAGCAUACACAACAGAAACGAAGGAUCUUCGGACUGGUAUGGACUCGAACACAAGCCUAGAUGUCUAUCCACAUGCACUAGGACAUCUACGAGCUUUCAUGGAGGACCGGUGAGGCCGGAGCUCGCGCCCGAGACCUCGAAAAGAAGCUCAUGGCUUAGGGAAGCCUACCUGGUUCGGGUGGCGAGCAACGGGCGUACUUCAUGCGACGGCGAAACGCUCUCUGAGUCUCACUUCUCUCCUCUCACUCUCUCCCUUUGGCUCGCCCUCUACUCUCUCAAGCUCUCUCCAACUCUCUGUCCUUCACUUGCUCCUCUCUCGCUUUUUAAGCAUCGACGCGCAUGGCCUUCUGCCAAGCCAGCUGUUGCUGCCGGUCUGCCUCCCGACCACCAACUCCGGUGCGAGGCUCAUGCCUGCCCCUUCUAACUCUGUCCUUCCUCUUGCUCGCGUACGCCCGCCUCGUUUCUGCAGAAUGCGUAAAGGACAAAGAGAGAGAGGGAAAGAAGGCCGGGCUCAUCAUGGGCAAAAUAAAAGAAAGGUGGACCGGCCCAGGCGAAGAGGAAGAAAAGGGAAAGAGAGAGAGGCCGGGCUGACCUGCCCCCGGCCCGGUCUCAUCUUUCCCAUUUUCCUUUCUUUUUCUUUUCUCUUUCUUCUUUUUUUUGUAAUUAAUUUCUUUUGAUAAUUUUUUAAUCUUUUUCUUUUUGAUGACAAAUUUUUUGGAAGAAAUUAAGAAAAGACCAUUCAAUUGCAGUGCAAUAAUGAAAACACAAUACAUUUUAAUGGUUUUCUUUAACUAUUUUUUUAGCGACUAAUUCCUAAUUUUGUAUGUAAUUAAGUUCUAAAUAAGAUAGUAAAAUUUAGGGGUCAAUAGUUGCGAAACCCCUAGACAAGGUGACGUGACCUUAGGUGGCUCUCGCUAAGGCUGCGCCUAGGGUCGCGCAACCCAAGUGAGACCCUCGCUUGAGGUCAGACAACCUUAACGAGGGCCACCCCUAGGUCAUGCAGCCUCAGCAAGGGCCACAUAGGUUGCAUGACCCUUGCCGAGGGUUGCGCGACCCUUGCCGAUGAUCGCUUGACCCUAGGCGACCCUUAUUGGUGGUCUCCAAGGGCCACUUGAGAUCCAGCGACCUCAAACGAUGGCUACCGCCGAUGAUUUGGAUGGCCAACAGUCACUGCCCUUCACCGAUAAACUAUUUUUUUCUUUUUUCUUUUUUUAAGAAUAAAAGCCAUUUGUAAAUAUAAAUCCUCCAAACAUUAUUUUACUCAAAUGCACUUUACAAUAGAGUUUUAGAUUACGAUUUACCAAACGUAAUUUGCUUUUGAAAAAUCCAUUUAACUUAAAACUCUUUGCAUUUCUCUAAAUAAUUUUCCCAAAAAGUCCAACCAAAUGUACCUUUAAUCUACCUCGUGGCAAGUUAGACUCGGCCCAUUUUGGAUAGUUGUGAUUUGACAAUAAGAUGCAUGACAUCCUGCGGAUCCUACAAAAGCCUAGAUUGUUCGGUUUUGUUUUGAAAAAAUUCCCAUAAAACGCAUGAAAUCUUAUUUAAACACAAAAUUUUGUUGUUCAAAAAAUUAAACUCGGGUUCCUUCCAGAGAUUUUAUUCAGGUUUGAAGGCAUCCCGGCUCUAGAGUGAAAAAACGGAAGUGUAUGAAAAGGUAUAGGACUUGGAAAAUCAAGUUAUCAAGAGACGUAAAUCGCUGGAGGAAAUUAAAGUCGUACAAAAUGCAGAUAGAGAUGAAUGCAAAUGUAGGAUUGAAACCAUAUAUAUUCAUGCAAUGUUUUUAGACUUUUAAACGAGACCAGUAGUACUGACAAAAAAAAAAACGAGACCAGUAGAUGAAACACAAAAGUCAAAUUUACAAGACGCGUCACAAACGGAACACUACUCAAACCGAAACUGAAGAAGGAUCCGAAAGACAUCGAAAACGAAAGAGAUUUCAUGAAAACUAAAGACCAAAGAAGAUUCGAUAGAGUUGUGACAUAGAUCGAGCAUCUCUUCUUCGUUCAAUCUUCGUACUUGUACCCCGAUUCACAGCGACAAACAGGUAACUCUUCAGUCCAUAUUGAAGUUCUGUGUUCUUCAGAACAACAUGAAUGACCGAGGAUAUUUUGCUCGCAGGCACGAAUUCUGGACAGAACAUGAGUAGUGCUUGGAACUUAAGACAGAAUUUUUUUUUUUAUACCACGAUGCAAUAGACUUUCAUUCCACAUUUAUUUACAUUUAUAAAGUAAUUUUAUAGAUUGGACUUGAGCAAGUCCUUAAAAGGCUCAUGGAGUGAGAGAUCCCGCGCUGGGGUGAGAGAUCUCGCGCUGUCCUCCUAAUCUCUCUAUGUCGGAAAGACAAAGAUAAACAGAGAAUUAAGAGACGUCACGGUGGUAAAAGUAGACACCACGUCAGGCGUCACAGUGGUGAAGGUAGAUACCACGUCAGGACUUCGAUUCUGGUUACUACUAGGUAGGCAGGUAUAAUAAUCUCCCGUGCCUAGAGUGAAUGAGGGUGGGUUUAAUGCCCACAAUUGAAUUGAUGUGCCUUACAGCAUUGUCCUCAACCACAGGUUAACUCAGUUCUCCUGGUUGAGGAGAGAAUUUUUUUUUUUUUUAUACCACGAAUAGACUUUCAUUCCACAUUUAUUUACAUUUAUAAAGUAAUUUUAUAGAUUACUUUUUGCAUCUAUCUCCGUGUUUAUCAGCAAACAAUUACUUGGACAAGAGCCGUGGAAGCUCCCCUUAGCCGACGACUACUUGGAUCGCGUGAUUCAAGCAGUACAAGUUUUUGAGAGGUAAAAUUGCACCCAUGUUUUGUACGUCCGAACUAACGUUUAAUUCUGUCUUAAAAAUUAUAAAAUUAAUAUAAUCCAGCCCUUUUAAAAUCGCUCAUGCAAUUUUUCUAAUGUGACACAUCGGGAAUUCAACACGGCUUACCUUAAUAAUUUUUGCAUAUGCAACAUUGCCGUGACCUGAUGAGGUGUCAUGUCAUAAAACAAUACCCCCAGUACAAUGCCCCUCCCUCCUUUUUCUUUGGCGAAAGAAAUUCCAUUCAUUACCAAAAUGCUACAUGAUAGUUUUCAUAGGAAAUCUAAAAAAUCACCAUAACAAGAAUAGCCCGUAAAGCUCCAAAAAAAAAAAAAAUCAAAAUACAUCAUCAGAACAUGAAUGGCAGAGAUAAUCACACACUUGUUCUUCAAAAAUAGAUUAGUGACUACAUUCAAGCAAAAUGAUCCAUAGCCAAUAUCACCGAAUCACAUAUCAUCAAUAGUGAUGGGCACAUGUUGAGAUCUCCAUAUGUAAUUAUGGUUUUGCCUUUCGGUGGUGGGUACUUAGAUUCAGUGUCCCCAAUACCAUCACCAUUGGGAAACAACAAAAACACGUUGAACAAGCUUGACUUUGACACCUAUGAGAGUCUUUUAAUAGGUCGCCAAGGUUUUUAACAAAGAUGCAUUGAACGGGCGUAGAUUUGACAAUGAAGUUGCUAUGAAUACCAUUGAAAUUAGAGGCGGAACAUUUAUUCAUUAAAACUUCUAGAUUUGGAAUUAGAUUAGAGAGCAAAACUUCCGAAUCUAAAACUAGAUUAGAAGAAUCAGGAAAGAAAUAAGACGGAAAUAAAAAGGAAACCAACUAGGGAGGGAAGGGAGAGAUUAGGUCAAAUCCCUCCCCUUUAAGUCAAAGUCAAGGUUUUCCUUUUGUAUUAAUUGAUAUGGAUGUCGACAUGCAUAAUUGAUGCGUUAUUAAUGUCUGGAGAACAUAGCUUCUCUUGUUUAAGACGCUUCGUUUUUUGAUCUUAUGAAUUAAGAAUUCAUUUGAUCUGGUGAGAAAAUGAAUAGCAACCUCAAAUUGGAAAGAGUGGAGCUUCAAGAAUCGGGACAAUGUUCCAAAUCAAUGAUAUCGAGCAAACGUGUGAGCUUGCUUUGACAGGAAAAUCGAGGGUCGAAAAAUUCUAUCUCGAAAUAGAAGUUCACUUCAUGCAUCUUUUUUGUCUUAUGAAAAGUAGAGAAUCAUUGUCCGACUAUAAGGUCAACCUUUUUUUGGGAAAUUUGAGAAAACAUUCAAUUAAAAAAAAAAACUCAGAGGACAUUUGACACAUUAAAUAUGGCAACAUUUUUUUUCUUUUUUAAUACGGUUGCUUAGCAAAUGCUCGCUCAUCAACAGCCACUUCGAUUUUUGAUGCACCGAUUGCGAAUAAUGAGAAAAUCGAUGUAUCAGAAACGAUGAAGAUUUGAGGAGAAAUUGAAAGUGAAUAAAACCGAAGAAACUAGUUAUGCGGACUAAUUGCUGUUCUAAUGUCCUGUCCUGAGAAGUAAAUUGAUAUAAUUUACAAUGUACUUAACGUUACGUGCAGAUCCAGCUGGAUUGGACCGGACCCAUGCGGUGCUCAGUGGCCGGUGCCGAGGCUGUCGGUUUACCAUCGUCCAAACGCAACCUGGAAUGAAAAUGACAGCAGAAAAACGAUCGGUCCCCGAGGCAGUUAAAGCCGUUGAGCAGUAAAAAGUAGUUGGAGUGAACAGUUCUUGAAGUUCGUUCUUGGCCCGUUACGGCAAUUGCUUUUCAUCGAAAGAUGAACCGCUCCAAGAGACCGUACAAGUAACAUUCCCAAUCCACGCGUGGAAAAUAGGCGGUCUCCAAUGAAAAUCGGCCCAUUGGCCGAAACAGAUGAGAUCUAAGGUAAAAUUGACAAAGUUGAAAAAUUUAUAAUUAAAUUUAUAUGUGUACGAUAGAUUUAAAACUAAUUGAAUAAUUACCCUUGAGUUUUGUUGGGCUCAAAUUUCGUCUUGAAAAUAAUUAUGGAUUUCAUUCGAUAAUUUUGUUAAUUAUAUGUAUCUCUUAAAAUUGCUUGCAUGUCUCAAUUUAAUUGCAUAUAUCUUGAUUGACAUACGUUACCUUUUAUAGUCAUUUUGAUAGACUGAUGCAUUAUUCUUUAUAUACAAAUUCCACAUUUCUCUGCUUCACUUUUUAUUAUGAGGUGCAUUGGGUGUGAAUUCUCUCUUUUGCUUUAUUGUGGGGUGCAUUGGGUGCACUUCAUGUCCGAUGUACCCAUGCAUCCAUCCUUGCCAAUUAACAGUAUUCCCUCUAUGAGCACAAGUCUCAAAGUACUUAGUCAAGUCCAUUCCACCACGUCUAUGCCAUGUAUACAACAAAAUUAUUUGAAAAAUAUUACUUCAAAUUUCCAACGGACCAAAUCAGUAAAUUGGCAAGGUGAUUGUUGGAUGGAUUGCAUUGAUUCUAUAAUGUUUCGGAUUUAGUUGUACUUUUUAAAUAUUUUGGAUUUUGAUUGCUUGCACAUAGCACCAAAUGCUUUGUACUAAUGAUACGAUUUUGCCGUUCUAAAACCAUAGGAGAUAACUUCUUAGAAUGGUCAGCUUGUCUACCCAAUCAACGUCUCCUAGAAUUUCCAAUAAAAAAAAAUCCUAGAUUCAAUAAAAAAAAAAGGAUUACCCCUGAAAAUCUGGUCAAGUUUUCAGGCUUUAUGAGACUAUCAUGCUGGCGGGAAAAAAAAGUAAAAAUUGAAAAAGAGAGAAAAGAUUGGUGCAAAAAAAAAAAAAGGGUUCUUUUUUGGUUUGUGGAAAAAAAAAAUAAGGUGAAUUCCACUGAGUCAAACUUCGACGCAAAUUUCCACAAAUUGGUUUCAAAAACUACCCCGCUGUUGAGACUCGUUGAUUUUAUGAAAAAUAAAGAAUUUUAAAAAUAUUUAAAAAAAUGAUUGUUUGAAAUAAUUAUUAAUGAAAAAUAUUGAUGAAGGUAUGUUUCAUUUAUUAAUUUUUAUAGAUUGUAUAUACAAUCAUUUUUAGAAAAAUAUCUUCUGAAUAAUUUAUUUUCUAUAAACUAAAUGGAGCCAACGCAGAUUACAAAUCCCAAUAAAAAAAUUUCAACCAAUUGAUAAAAACCCAAAGCAUAUUUCAUUUCUUAACAAAAUUAAUGGCCUUAUUCACGAGGCUGCCAAAGUAAUAUAGAAAACAAUAUUAUAAGUGUCAUAACUUUUCAAUUGAUCAUUUGGGCACCAUAAAUAUUUUUUUUAAAAUGUUCGCCAUAAAUACCAAAAAUUCAACAUGGCAUGACACUUGUGAUGGACAAAUUAUAGUACUCAAAUAAUUGUUUCUCUUAGACAUUAUGAUACUUAAAUGAAAAAAAAAAGAUAUGAUUUUUAAGUGAGCAUUGUACACGAAUUUUGCCAUUCGAGUUGUCUUUAUUCUUAAGUGAUGAACUUAGUUAGACAUACAUCAAAUGAUAUAUAUAUAUAUAUAUAUAUAUAUAUAUAUAUAUAUUUAUUUAUUUAUUUAUUUAUUUAUUUUCAUAAUUACUAAUAUCAAAUUUGAGAUAUUGCAAGGAAUUGGAUGCGGUUCCAUUUAAGCGCUUUGACAUUAGACAAGACGCUUGAGAUGAUUGCCCUAAACGCGUUUGUUCAGCUGCAAUUUCAUGUAUUUAAAGAUGAAAAGAAAAAUGUAUCUUUUCAUUUUGAUUUGGCCUAUAACCAUUGACUUUGCAUGUGUUUGUUCGGGAGAUUUGAACAUGAAAUCAGCUUUAAGAAUCUGACAGACACUGUCGUCUCAGGAAAGGCUAGGGAAGAUGAGUUCUCUGAUUAGUUUCAAUAAUCAUCUUAUCCUGCCCAAUAAUCAAAUCUCAAGCCUGGACUGUAACACCGUGCUCGUUACGUCUCUACCAAGCAUUUGACUUUAGAAGAACACAUGAGGAGGCGGAAAAAGGCACACCACAAAUAUCAUACUUUAUAAGUGUCAUAAUUUUUUUCAAUUAUUUGAUGCCAUAACUUAUGUAUGUCACUUAUUUGAGUGUAACUUUUCAAUCGAUCAUUUGAUUGUCAUAAUAUUUUUUUAAAAUAUUCAUUAUAAAUGUUAUACCAUGUUGGAUUUUGGAUAAUUAGAUAAACAUUUUUAAAAUGUUAUGACACUCAAGUGAUCAAUUAAAAGUUAUGAUACUCAGUGAGUGUUUUUUUAAAAGUUACAGCACUUAAAUAAGUGUUGUACAAAAAUUAUAGCGCAUGUGGUGUCCUUAUUCCUAAUGACGCUUAGGAUAAACAUAAGUAAAAGGUUUUUGUGGGACUAAUCUUCGCAUAUGUGGGACUAAUCUUCGCAUAUUUCUGGGAACCAAAGGGCCGACUACCGCCUCAACCUCUCUUUGGUCCGCCAUUGCUCGACAACUUUGCUUCACAAGAGUUGCCCCUUUUUGAAAAACUCACAUUUUUUUCCUUUACACUUUCCACCCUUGGAGUUUAACGCGUGCGGAUAUAGCAAAUUUGGGGGGAUCAAGAAGCCACUUCAUUAAGCUCGGUUUUAGGGUCGAAAUAUGAGAGGACGAUAAGUUCAAUCAUCGAAACGAAGAUUUCGUUUUCUCUAUUAAUUAAGAAUUACGCCAUGAAGAACUCGUAUUUAUCAAACAAUUCUGUAUCAUUUCGUUUGCUCUAUUUGAAGGACUCUUAAUUCUAUACCCCUAUCACAAUCUUAAGUGAACGUGUUUGUUGGGAAAGAUUGGCUAAAGAAAUUUGGCAGUAAUAAAAUCACAUUCUAGAUCUGGUCUUCCAGAAAAUAAUUGCAUAGUAAAGUCAACUUUUGCACCUAACAUUGUCGUCUUGAGAAGUUGUUUUUUGAGUACUCUAAUUUCACCGAGCGCCGCGCCUGCAGAUAUGUAUAUAUUGUCAUGAUUUUUACUUGCCACAGAUCAAUCUUGAGUGCGAACGUGUUGGUUGGGGGAAGAUUGGUCGGGGGAAGAUUGGUCAAGAUAUUUCUAAGUACUAAAAUCACAUCCCAAAGCUGUUUCCCCGAAAAGAAAAUUUACAUCCCAUCCCAAAAGUCAACUUAAGAAUCUAACAUUCCCACCCAAGGGAAAGGAGAGGGAAGAUGCAGUGCCUUAAUUAUAAUAGUCUGGCGUAGGUAGCAUGAGAGCAUGGGGGAAUAUACAAAUGCUGGGAAGUACAUGCCAGAUUACAAGAAUCAAUGUUGUUAUUGUUAUCCUUAUCGUUAUUUUUGUUGUCAUGUGAUCAUAACAUUGAUUCUUGUGAGUUUCAAUAGUUCUCAUUGGACCCGACAGGUGUGCCGUUUCCCAAUACAGAUGAGACCAGCUUUCAACUUGCAAUUCAUCUGUUUGACUUUUAGCUGGUUAAGAUUCAGCAAUAGCAGAGUGAUGAACGUGACUAUGGCCAAUCAAAGACUUGAGUGUGCAUCGCUCUUGGUUCAACAUGGGAACUGAACCGAACCGGCUGUUUUUGGGUAAUUUUUGUGGAAAUCAGUCUAAUUUCUUGUUCCUUCUUAGGAACCGGACCGAAUCGGUGAAACUGACAGAGUAUAUUAUUUUUUAUUCAGCAAUUGUCAAAAGGUACAAUAUUUGUGUGAGUAAUCUAUUUUUUUACUAGUAACUUCUCUGUGAUUAGUAAUUUCGUCGCACAUUAAUGUAACUUUCAAUAUAUUAAAGAACUUCUUUGAAAGAAAAAGAAAAAAAAAACACCGCCUGUUUUCGAGACUAGUAACUAGACUGGGAGCGUUUGCUCAAAAAAAAAGAAGAAGAAAAAAACUAAAUUGGGAGCGGCUAAUCCAAUUCUAGAGUGAACAAGGUCGAUUCUAGAUUCCACAGACUUGGAAUCGUUUUUGUGCAGUCCGGUUUCUGAUUCAAGAAUGAGUUGAUUCCUAUCCUGGAAUUGAUUACCCUGAAUACCUCAACUAUUUUUAAAAUGAUUAUAUGCAAUUUUCUUUCCCUAGAAAAAAAAAAUGAAUUUGAAGAGGAUGCACAAGGAGUCAGAUUUUCUAAUUCAAAUAGGGAAAUUUUCCCAAGAGACCAAUUUUUUUUUUUUUUGAAGCCAAACAAGACUAGGAAGGGUAACAAUUGUUUGGUAAGAAAUGGGAGAGCUUGUGGCCUCAUAGGCUUGGUAGAAUCAAUGUUUUGUCUCUAUUAUUUCAACUCAAUAAAUGUUUUCCCGCAUAUUGAAAACGGAAUAGUUAUAUUUGUAAGCAUUUUAUUAGACACCCGUUAAGCAACUAAUUAAUUUUUUUUUACAAUUUCAAUGCGUUGGCUAUCUUGUGUUAUACAAGAUCACUAUUUUGAAAAGAAAAUUAUUCCCCGCUCAAUACUCCAUAAAUGCUCUAGGGCAUUCACUAAUAAGGCCUUACAAGUUCUUGAUUUGGGAAUAAAUUGAUUGUAAUUGAAGAACAUUAUAAUCUAAAUUCAAGAAUGCGUAAGAUGAUCAAACAAAUAUUGAUGUGAUAAACGCAACCAAUUAAAAUAUAAGAAAAGCGUAAAAGGUUGAUGGGCUAUUAAAGAAAUUCAACGUGGGUAGGUUUGAUGUGAUUGCGAAACUAUGAUCCAUUGGGGCUAUCAAACUUCUAUGCUCGGUAGGCUCAAUAAAUAUGAAAAGGAUUGUGCACAAGAGUCAAAUUGCCCGAGUGAUAGGCAGUGUAGUGGCCAAUGCUGGCAAAAUCUACACUGGCCUAGCUCUAUAAACACAGGCUGCUAAGAUUUGGUGAAGACAUGAAUUCUCUCUAGGCCACAUCGUCAAUUGGGUAGGUUCCUACAAUUACUGACUCCUCGUACUACCCAGUCACAUCCCGCCCAUCAAGAAAUAAUGAAGACCAAUGCAGAACGACACUGGAUGAUGUGGGAGACAUGGUCCGAAGUCACUUCACCUCCACCUCUAAAGAAGCAGCAACAACGAGCGAGAGCCCUCAUCAAUGGGGGAACUUGACCACUCAGGGCAGGGCAAUCGUCUUGAUUGAGCACAGAUGAAUUGCCCAUAAAUGUGCAGGAUUCAAGCACCCAUGGGGCUAAAAAUAAUGGGGAAAAGUCCUUGGUCCAGCCAGGAGAUGGAUGUAACAUCAUGGACCAUGCAUGGCGAAAUACACAAGUUGUUGCCAACAACGAACGAAACGGAAUCGAAUGAAGAGCAGCUCUAAUUAAUAGAGGGCUUUUAUAAUGCAUGCAGUCUUUGAACUUUUCUCCUACACAAGCCAACCUACUUUCGUCAUCAUUGAUUGGGUAUUAAUAGUUUGAAAAAAUCGACCAACUAUCCAUAUUAAUUAAGUUGGGUUGACAAGAGGAGUAAUCGGACUCUGCAUCAAAUUUUUCCAUUAAAAAAUUGAGUAAACAAAACUAAGCACGAUCCAGAGUGUUGUGUAUUAUUAGUAGUCAUAUAUGUUAGUAUAACCUUUUAAUUUUCGAGGUUUGAUAUCCCAUAAGAAGUAAUCAAUUAAAGCAAUUCCAAUUGGAACUUUCUGGUUCUUCUAGCACCAGAAUUCUCAAUAUGACCAAGAUUAGAUUUCAUGGAGUUGGCUCAAUGACUAUUUGACCAGAAUAAGAAAACCCCCUUCAAAUUACAAAGAGAGCUUUUGCAAUUGAAUCAUCUGACAACGUUCAUAAAGAAGAAGAAGAUGGAGGAAGAAGUUAACAUCAAGAUAAUCUCACCAGGGAGAGAAUUUUUGCUUACCAUCACUGAUGCCUCUCAUGUAGGCCAUGCCAUUCGUAAGACUAAUAAAAUGUCAAAUGGUUCAGCUUUACAAAAGCUCCAUCUAAUUAAAACCCGACGUCCGUUAAUGUUAGGCAAACCCCAAAAAAAAAACAACCUCCAUCGGCUCUAUUCCGACCGGGUACGCAGAACUCCGGCGCCCCGUCGGAUUCUACAUGGAGGGGGAAAAAAAGGUUCACUUGGCCCAGAACUUGACCUGCAAUUGAUCAUCCUAUAUUUACAAAUCGAAAGAUGCAUACCCAACCGUCUGAAUCAAUCCCUAACUUGUGAGUCUUUUGUGGUUAGCAACUCAUAGUAUGAACAGUGUGCCCUAAUCCGGUCCUACUCAUUCUCAUACUUCCAUCUUCCAGAUCACACCAUCGACGUUGCUGUCGUGCGCUUUCUCUAGAGCAGCUACCCUCGCUCGAUGUGAUGCCUGUGGGAUCAUACUUUUACCCCCAGUGUCCUGUGUGAGUUCACAUGAUUCACCGAUGGGACCGGAUCUCAAAUCUGCAGGGGGGAUGAAGCAGUCAAUUGAUAGGCCCGCAAUGUUGAAUGCAACCUCCUCGAUCGUCCAAGUUUCUUCCAUCCUAGUUUUUGUAUGGCUCAUUGCCAUCUCCCCAAACCUGAAAACGGUCACUACUGACCGUCCUGCAUGUGCAAUCAUGAUUCCUUCGACGGGCCUGUAGUCAUCAAGGGAUGAAGUGAUGGUGGUUUCCCAGUACGCAGCAUCUCCACCAUUCAUUUGGAUACGAGUAAGAUGGGAAUCCUCGAUGCGGACGAGGAGUCCCGUUUUCUGGCUGAAAUAGCCAAACAGAACGUGUCUUAUGAUCUCGGCAGGCCCCUCACUCCUCGCCUUUAAUGUCUGGGGGUCAGCGCAUAGCUUCAGGAUAAAACAGUCCUCACCAUUAAGCUUCUUCUCGCCAAUGCACCUUGCAUCAGAAAACAGACUCACUGUGGUUCUUGGGUCAAGACCCUGAAAUGCACAUGCGUUACAAACUCAGUCAGUCAUGCACAGCAGCUAAAGGUAAUGUGCAACAAAAAGCAAAGAACAGACGAAAGAAAACAGCUAUUACCUGGAGGGCGCGGCGCAGUGGUCUGACGGGCCCCUUUGCAGUGUGAGCGCCUAGCCAGGGAGUAUGCCUCCAAACGAGUUUCCCGUUACAGCCAGCAUGGACCUUACUUCCACCAACUGCGAGCUCCACGUACCACAUAUCUGGGUUCAUCUGCCAGAGCACGAAACCACCUGUAUGUGCAGAACUCCGGUUUUUUAUAGCCUUCAUUGCACUUUCAAACUCCGAACUCACCAUCUUCAACUUUCCUAAUGCAUAGGCAUUUCGGAUGGAGUUCUGGAGCUUUAGACCACCUGAUGCAGCUGUGUACUGUUGCAGUAUGUAUUGAGCAGAUGACGUUUCCUGAAAUACAAUGAAAUUCACCAUAUGAAAUUUGCAAUUUCCUCAGUAUAUUUCCCGAAAAAGAAACAGCAAAAGAGGCAAGAAGAAAACAAGACUCUGCCAUAAAUCCUGGGGGAUCAAACACGGUGCACUGCUGUCAAUUGACAUCCCACGAGAUCAUGAAAAUGAAAACCCCAGAAUUGAUCCCGAAUUACUAUUUCGAGUUGUUCUGUCCAACCGAAAAAAAAGUGAGGUAGCAGCUUGUUUGUUUCCUGCUACUAAAAUAGUCAACUACACCAAUAAAAUAAAAUCUAAACUGAUCUCCUCACCUACAUUAAAGGCAAAUCCAAACAGUAUUAAAAUAGUAUCCUGAAUCUCCAGUUACCUUAGUUAGCAUAAACAAAACAAGAAACCAAAUAUCACCCACGAGAUCCAGACCGACUGGUAUCUCGGAUUCAAAUCUUGCCCAACUGGCAGUACAUAUGUACUAAUUUAGCAGCUUUUCUGAUUACAGUGAAUCAAGCCAGAACCAACUCAUUGUCUCAGCUCAAGAACCACACCUGCCCAGCCAUCAAUAAAGAAUGCCAGAACGUAAUGAAAACAGACAGCUCGAUUUAAACCAAAGAAUCACGCAGAAACUGCCAAAUUCCCGGACAGUGCAGUACGAAAACAGCAUAAUUUCCCCAGAGGCAAGAAAGACAUGAACCAGCUCGAUUUCACCAUUAUUGAGAGAGAUUCUCGGGCGCUCUUCGGGUACCAAAGUACCCAUCAACCCACCAACCAUGAAGAGCCGUGACAUUCCGUUUCGUGAUCAGAAGCAAGAAAUGUAAUUCGAAAACGCUGGAGUGAUUCUCGCAAAGAAGAACACUACCCCCUUCUCUGCAUUGGAAAUGCACAGCAUCGCAUUCACGCAGCAUCUUGAAGAGAGAGAGAGAGAGAGAGAGAGAGGGGCUCACGAUAGGAGUGUCCUUGACGCUGAGGUGAGGCAGAGGGUCGAGGACGCUAACAUGCACCGGGGCGAGCGGCGCGCCCAUCACCCCAAUCAGCAUCCUCACGUCGCUCCUCUUCCCCGACGACGCCGACGCCGACGACGACUCCGCCGGCGACGACGACGACGAGGAGCUCACCGGCGGAGCCCUCCCGAGCUGGCCCUUCACCCACUGCCCCAGGCCCGACCCGCCGUUCCCGCCCCACCUCUUCGGGUCGCCCUCCGGAUCCGGGCCCUCCAUCAGCGGCGUCAGGCUCCCGGAUCUCGGGACGAUCGCCAGCUCGGGCGGCGGCGGCUGCGGCUGCUGCGGCGGGGCCCCCCACCCAGCCGCCGCCUUGGCGUGGCGGCCGCGGCCGCGCGGAGCAGGGCGAAUGGGGANNNNNNNNNNNNNNNNNNNNNNNNNNNNNNNNNNNNNNNNNNNNNNNNNNNNNNNNNNNNNNNNNNNNNNNNNNNNNNNNNNNNNNNNNNNNNNNNNNNNNNNNNNNNNNNNNNNNNNNNNNNNNNNNNNNNNNNNNNNNNNNNNNNNNNNNNNNNNNNNNNNNNNNNNNNNNNNNNNNNNNNNNNNNNNNNNNNNNNNNNNNNNNNNNNNNNNNNNNNNNNNNNNNNNNNNNNNNNNNNNNNNNNNNNNNNNNNNNNNNNNNNNNNNNNNNNNNNNNNNNNNNNNNNNNNNNNNNNNNNNNNNNNNNNNNNNNNNNNNNNNNNNNNNNNNNNNNNNNNNNNNNNNNNNNNNNNNNNNNNNNNNNNNNNNNNNNNNNNNNNNNNNNNNNNNNNNNNNNNNNNNNNNNNNNNNNNNNNNNNNNNNNNNNNNNNNNNNNNNNNNNNNNNNNNNNNNNNNNNNNNNNNNNNNNNNNNNNNNNNNNNNNNNNNNNNNNNNNNNNNNNNNNNNNNNNNNNNNNNNNNNNNNNNNNNNNNNNNNNNNNNNNNNNNNNNNNNNNNNNNNNNNNNNNNNNNNNNNNNNNNNNNNNNNNNNNNNNNNNNNNNNNNNNNNNNNNNNNNNNNNNNNNNNNNNNNNNNNNNNNNNNNNNNNNNNNNNNNNNNNNNNNNNNNNNNNNNNNNNNNNNNNNNNNNNNNNNNNNNNNNNNNNNNNNNNNNNNNNNNNNNNNNNNNNNNNNNNNNNNNNNNNNNNNNNNNNNNNNNNNNNNNNNNNNNNNNNNNNNNNNNNNNNNNNNNNNNNNNNNNNNNNNNNNNNNNNNNNNNNNNNNNNNNNNNNNNNNNNNNNNNNNNNNNNNNNNNNNNNNNNNNNNNNNNNNNNNNNNNNNNNNNNNNNNNNNNNNNNNNNNNNNNNNNNNNNNNNNNNNNNNNNNNNNNNNNNNNNNNNNNNNNNNNNNNNNNNNNNNNNNNNNNNNNNNNNNNNNNNNNNNNNNNNNNNNNNNNNNNNNNNNNNNNNNNNNNNNNNNNNNNNNNNNNNNNNNNNNNNNNNNNNNNNNNNNNNNNNNNNNNNNNNNNNNNNNNNNNNNNNNNNNNNNNNNNNNNNNNNNNNNNNNNNNNNNNNNNNNNNNNNNNNNNNNNNNNNNNNNNNNNNNNNNNNNNNNNNNNNNNNNNNNNNNNNNNNNNNNNNNNNNNNNNNNNNNNNNNNNNNNNNNNNNNNNNNNNNNNNNNNNNNNNNNNNNNNNNNNNNNNNNNNNNNNNNNNNNNNNNNNNNNNNNNNNNNNNNNNNNNNNNNNNNNNNNNNNNNNNNNNNNNNNNNNNNNNNNNNNNNNNNNNNNNNNNNNNNNNNNNNNNNNNNNNNNNNNNNNNNNNNNNNNNNNNNNNNNNNNUGAUUAUGAAAUUAUAUCUAGCUACACAUUCACUUGUUCGAUGAUACAUGUUCAAAAGGUGUGUACACUAGCACUAGACCGAAUUUGAUAGCGCGUAGCAUUACUCAAAGUAUGUGUCUCAAUUUUUCUCAUCUCAAGAGAAAAUUAAGGAAAACUUUCGUCUGGAAUCAUUUUGUAAAGGACGCAAUUAGCAGAAAAAUAAUAGAGGAUGCCUCGUCUCUUAUGAUUUUCUAUUACAAUGUGUACGACGUUUCAAUGUAAAAAAGUAUGAGAUGUUGUAAGUAUUACCAUAUGUCUGCCAUGUUGUGGCCAAAAUGAUUAUGUCUUUUGUCGCAGAGUGAGUCUGAGAGAAAUGAACAGUUCCCCCCCCCCCCCACCCACCCACCCACCCACCCACCCACCCAUCCUACGAUCCUUACUGCCCUGAUCGGGCUCACAUGAUCUAACGGCUCAUCUGAUGCCGGCUUUGAACGAUGAGAGAUUAUGGUGAUCGCCUCGCGAGCGAUUAGGGCGCGCACUCGUCGCAUCACGGUUGUUGGAUCAAGUGUAUCCCAUGCGAUGGCUCAUCAUGCUUGAGGCUAGACCCAUUAAAAGGGUGAGCUAGCUAAAAAAUGAUAUGAUCUAAAUUAAUCCAAUUUUCAUGAGAAACAAAUUUUGUGAUCUAUACUUGACUUGAUCAGUAUUGCUACAACUUAUUUAAUCAAAAAUUGAUGUGAGAGAAUGGAGUGAGUGAACGCAAAAUUGAGUGAGGGCGAGAGAGAGUGAAAUAUGAGUCAUAAAAAUGGGUUGAGUCUAAGUAAGUUUUGGAACCAUUUAAUAUCUAUAUUAUUUUUAGCUUUAUCAAUGUUGACAUAUUUUAUGAUCAAUUUAUUGAAUAUAACUAACUCAUAUAACAACAUAACUCAUCAAAUAUAAGUUAAGAGAUAUGUCCAUGAGCAAUUUUGAUAGGUUUACCUGGGAGUUAAAAUGUGCAAUUUGUGUCUAAUUGGUUCCAUAGUUGCUCGGAUUGGUUUGGGAUGCUCGCGAGAGCAUGAAUCAUGUGAACUCAACGAGAGUAGUCCGAUUAUAUGAAUUGUUUAUGCAAAUGUCUAUAUAAGUUGACCAUUUGAAUGAUUGAGCUCACAUAGAUUGCGUUCACAUAUUGAGUAUAGGUGAGACGACUCCUUUUUGUCAUGCAAUAUUUGUUUAAAAGAUCCUCAUAACCAACAAGUUAUGGCAUUAGGAAUAUUUUAGAAAAUACUUACGAUCAUGAUAGGUGCAUAUAUAUUGUGAAAAAUAAUAUUAUCUUUAUGGAUUAUUUAGAUUAAAGGCUCAAAUAUACUGCCUAGCUCAAGCUUGACCCGAGCUUGAACGAGUAUUAACUUUCCCGAUCGACUAGAUUAGAAAAUCAUGAUGCACGAGCUAAAAUCAACUUGAUUACAAUCAACUUAUAAUCAAACUCGCGUUUGAGCUCAAUGUUAAUAAGUUCGAAUAUGACGUCAUUUUAAGAAUUUCACUUCAAGUUUCUCAACUAUCAAAUAUUCCCACUUUUUAAUUUUUUUUAGUCGAGACAAAUAUUGAUGAAUUCGAGCUUGAAACUAGAUGAGUUAAUAUGGAGCAAUUAUCAAGCCAAGCCCUAGCUACUCGCGAGUGACUUGUCUUACCUCGCGCCUAUGUAUGCAUGACAUCUUCUGUUGAUUACGUGUUUCAUCCUCAUUGGUAAAGCAGUUUAAGAAUCUCACAGUCAAGUUAAGGAAGAUACAGGGAAAAUGUCCAUAAAAGUUGGGAUUAUUUUUCUCAUUAGUCAUAAAUAAAAAAUCCCGCACGUGCAAGUUUCACGCAUUUGAAACCGUAAAGUCAAAGUAGCUUAACUUUUAUAUGGUUAACUUUAAAUAUGAAAUAUACUUAAAUCCACAAAGAGAAGAAAGGAAAAAAGAGAAUGGGGUAGUAAUGAAAUUAGUAUUAAUUAGGUGUAUAUCCGAUAUUAGGUUCUAUGAAACUUCUCAAUUUGCAUUUUAAUUUACCCAAAUAAUGUACGGGCGGUGCUCUUGAAAGGAAAAAUCGCAAAUUAUUACCUAAAAAGUAAGAAUCACGCUAGUAUUAGAUAGACAUUUGAAGAGCGAUUGAAGUAGUUAGAGCUUGAGGAGAAAUGUUUGUAUUAUUUGUUCAUACAAAAAAGUUACAUUUUUGAAAAAAAAAAUUAGAAAAUUAUUUUUGAAAAAAUGACAAUAUUUUCAUGUAUUUAGUUGAAAUUUGAUAAAGAAUAGGAAAAAGGCUAAGUGUGGGACCUCCGUGACUCAUAUUCAGGCCUAGCCUCAAGAGACUAGGGCAAGGGCAUCAGGUGAGGGCACAUGGGGAAUCUUAGAAUAGGCACUAGGGUUCUAGGGUUGGCAUCAAUGGACUUGGUCACGAGCAUCGAGGAGUUGAGCUAGAGCACUAGAACCCAAGCUCAAAUGUCGAGACUCGGGCAUUAGGGUUGUUAGUAUUCAAAUCAGAAUUGAAUCGAAUUUUCGUGCAUUUACGGUUCGACUCGGGUUUCACUUGAAAUAAUGAAAAAAUAAUUGUUUUUUAUUCCGGUUCGGAUAGUUUCAAUUUAGUUUGAUUAAUUGGGUGGAAUGAAAAUCAUGCUUCUUUUUUAUACUACAAUUUACACAAUUUCUCUUUUUUGUUACUAAUCCUCUUCUUAAUAUUACAAAAAAGAAAUUUAAAAAACCGAACCAAGUUGUGAGUUAGUUCAAAGCUAAUGUACACCCAAAUGGUUUGGUUCCCUUCAAGUUUUUUGAAAACCCAAAUUGAACCGAACUGUUAACACUCCGACCACACAUGACAUUUGUGGACUAGAGCCCUAGUGUUGAAGAUUUAGGCACAAGCAUUGUGGGUCCCAUGUUUGGCCUUUGUGGACUUGAGCCCAGGUGUGGGGACAUCAAGCAUGGGAACUGGAGCCUCAAUGGACCUAGGUGCCAGCGAGGGGGCCUACCAUUGGCAUAAAAGGGCCUAGGCUCGGCCUUAAUGGACCUAGGUGCGAGCACUGGGGUCGUGAGGCUAGCCUCGACGGACCUUGACCCAAGCGUUGAGAACCCAAUCUUGGACGCUGAUACUUGGGAAUAAGCAUUAAGUUUUGUGUCAAAGCAUAGAAUUUUUUGUCCAAGCAAUAAUAUCUAAUAUAUUUUGUAAAAUGAUUUCUAAUUUUAAAUAGGGAAUUAUUUUCCUAAAUUUAAGUAUGUAUUUUCAGUUGAUUAGGAAAAUAAGUUCUAAUACUAAAAGGUACUGAGGUGGUCCACCUUUUUUUAUGUUUAAUAGUACAUACAUUACGCUUAUGUAUUAAUUUUUCGGAGACAUGACCAAGCAAUUCUAUUUCUUCACUCAGAAAGGCUUCACUUGAGAAACAAGUGGGUUGUUUAUUUGGCAAAAUUAUGCUCAAUUUCGUAUUUUUGGAAAAAAAAUUUGAAGUUAUGGAAAAAAAAAAAUGAAGUUUCAUUAGUAUAAUCGAAGCUUUUUGUUAACUUCAUUACUGGUCAACGAUGGUUUCUGUGUCUUCCCAGACCGGGCUUAAUACAGAAGAUAGAUGGAAAAACAUCCAUCAUGGCGUUAUGCAGGAAAAGGGCCUCAACUUUAUGUCCAUGAUCACUCGAUUAAAUCAAUAUUUGGGGCAAUUAGACCUAGACAACUCAUUGGCCAUGGCGCUGUCUGACAUGCCGAUGCUUUUUGGAUGGCAAAGCAUAGCCAAGGGGGGAAAAGAUGCAUGCUGUUGCUUAAUCUGCAAGAAUGUUCUUAUUAUGGAGAGAGAACUUUGGAGUACAAUCAUUGAUGCCAUUUCGCAUCAUCAUCUUCAAUGAUCAUCCUCACUAAUGACUCCUCACUCAGACAACACCUGAUGAUUUUGACCCAUUUUAUUAACCUGAAAUUAGGCUUGUUGACAUGGGAUAUUUCAGAAGGAAAAUAAUCAAAAAGUAAAUUAUUUGAUGCAGCGUGAAUUUCAAUUGGUUAAUUGUUGAUUCGCAUUUCAUUGGUUUGAUCGGCUGAUAAUUACUUGAUUGGAUAUUUUCCAUAACUUGUGACACCUGUCUAAAAUUUAAUUAGACAAUGAUCUAAGUGUACGUGAUGUGACCCUUUUAUAAUUAGUCUUAUUUUUUCGCUUUUUACAAAUGCCCCCUCUCGAGACGCAUUCAUUUUCUUUUUUCAUCAAGUGAACGUCUCAAUUUUUUUUUUUUUUGUAAUGCCAGCUGUAGAAGCAAUUAUUAGAUUUGCUAAAGACAGAACUUUGCUCUAGUAGCAAAUAUUAUUAUUAUUAUUAUUUUUUGCUUAUUAAAAUGUUUAGAUGUACAGAGAUCAAGAGCAUUAGGACACUUGAGAAAUUCAAAAUCCAUUGAACUUAGAAACAGUAGACCUUCAUCUAGGGGUGUGCAAAAUAUCUGGAAUUGCCCGAACCGCCCGGAACCGGACCGGAACCGCUCGGAACCGGCGGUUCUUGAGGGAACCGGUUCGGUUCCCGAUUCCAAUUUUUCGGAACCGGUGGGUAUCGGUCUGGUUCCCGGAUCCAUGGGCAGAUCUACCCAUCCGGACCGGAUCGGAACCCUUUUAAUAUUAAAAAAAAAUUACUAAAAGAAACCCUAAAUUAGAUAUCAUCUCCUCACUCCCUUCGUCUUCGGUUCUCCCUCUCUUUGUCUCUUCCUCGGUUCCUCCUAAUCCUAUCGCCAUUUCGAUUCCUCUCAGAGCGUCGACGCCGCCACCGCUGCUCCUCUGCCACUGCUGUUCGCCCCCUCGCGUCGGCUGCCACCCGCCACAGCCGCGGAAAAUUGUUUCACGACCGUUCUAUGUUAAAAACUCGACCAUAGACCCCAUCCCCUCCUUCCCAACUCAUAGACCCGACCAUUCUAUGUUGAAAAUCAAAAUUGUUUCGCGUCAAGAUUAGUUCCAUGGAUCCACCCGAGAACCGGACCGAAUUGGCGGUUUGGUUCCGGGUGGAUCCAUGUAACAAACGGGUGGAUUCCGGUUCCAAUUUUUCAGAACCGGUCCUUAGCGGGCGGUUCCCGAUUCUAGGUCGGGAACCGCCUGCCCGGACUAUGCACACCCGUACCUUCAUCCCAAUUCAAGUGGGAACUUGAAUCGAGAUGAACAAGGGAAGCAUCCACAAGAUCGCUAUAAAGAGAUAUGGAAUACCAUCAUUGUCUGAUCGGACAUGCAACUGUGCAAUCCUACAGAGAUUCCGCCGACGGUUCACCUACCAUGCCUAGACAUCCUUCAAUGCUCAAUGCCGUCGUCUUCCGGCCAUGCAGUUAAUUUUGUUUCUGAUGCGAAAGCAACCCUUGCCCAUGUUGCCGUUUUCGCACAGGAUUCCUCGAAUUACGUAACCGAUUGGUAGGUUGCAAGUUAUGAGGAUGACCCACAUGCAAACUGAUAGAAUAUAGAUAUAGGUGAGUUUGUGUUCGUAGCGCACUGAUCAUCUCUGACUAGAGAUGGCGCAAAAGAUGACCCGGAUCCAUACUUGUACCAUAAUUUUGAUACAGCGCUCAUUUGAGUGCCAUAAUUUUUUUUUCCAUCACUAAAAUGCCAUAAAUUUUUUUAAAAAAAUGUUCAUUUAAGUGUCAUAACUUUCAAUUGGUGCCAAAAUAUUUUACAAAUGUUUACCCAAGUGCUAGAAAUCUAACAUUUUAAAAAAAUUAUAAUACUUAAAUAAUGAAAUAAAAAGUCAUAUGACACUUAAGUGAUAAAAAAAAAAAAAAAUUGUUAUGGCACUCAAAUGAAUACUGUACAUAAGCUAUGGCACUCAAGUAAGCGUUAUACGAAAAUUAUAACAUUGAUGGUGUCCUUAUCUUGGCAUUUUUUGCGAUUGAAACCCGCUAGAAACGGAGCUUUAUCAUGAAGUGCGUUUUCACGUGUGAUCGGAAACAAGCUCCUUCAUGAAGAUUUGCAGUUGAAUAUCAGCAGCAGUCGGUCAAAAUACUCGAGGCUUCUCUCGGAGCACAUCAAACUCUCUUGAAAAUCCAACUCCACAAAGACGCAGCACAUCAAAAGCGGCCUCCACUGCCUUCGGGGUGUUAUCGAAUUCGAUGGUGGUGCUGCGACUUGUGAGUUGGUCGGAAGGACGUCGGCGACGACCGACCUGGGGUCGGUCCAAAGCCGAGGCAUGACACCAUGCGGGCGUCGAAGCAUUGAAACGGCAAAGUUAUUUUUGCGAUCUUUGAAUGCGACUAUGUCAAUGUACAUCGAGCAAAUCACGGGCCCAAGGAGAAGGAGUGAUCUUGGGAAAUGAUUCCUCGUCUUCUUUAAUGGCAUGCAGGCACUUUUUGAAGCCUAUGCUUUUCUUGAACGAAGAGGCUAUGCUUGAACAGUUUGGAAAGUGUCUUUCUUCUUCUUCUUCUUCGACAUCCUAAACCCUAAUUAAUCUAUGAAAAUUUAACUAGUGAAUUACAUUAAAUGAUCGUGAUUGGAAUCAAUCAUCAAGGAAUAAUUGAGUGAUUGGUUUCUUAAUUUGUAUCAAGCAGUAAAAACUAAAUGAUCACAAUGAAUACUAUACAAGAUUUAGAAACAUAGUAUGUGAUAUAGGAGACUUGUUUGAGUGAAAUAGAUGGGUUCGGAUUCCUCGGUGGAGGGUUUCAAAUGCAAACAAUUUCAUAUUUGAACCGAUCACUAAAACCGUCUCAUUUUUUUUAUGGUUCAUGAAAUUUGGGGAGUAUUUCUGUAUUAUCUAUAUCCAAACACUUUCUGUUCAAUGGACCGUGUCUCACACUGACGUUGGUUGGAUUUUUAUAUUACCUCCUAUUGAUUAGCGCUACUACUUUUUCUAUUACGAUUGGAAUUAAAAUGUAGUAUAUUAAAUUGGAUAAUGGCACAAAUAGUUCCUCGAAUUUAGCCAAUGCGUAGUGUCGCUUUGAAUUUUUAAUUUAGUCAAUAUGCUCCAUGAAUUUUUGGUACAUGUUUAAUAUAGUCCAUGGAUUACUUGGAGACUAAAUCAAAUCCAUGUAUAUAAUACUCAAGGACUAGAUUGAAUAUUUACGAAAAGUUCAAAUAUCUCACUGAAUUUUAUCAAUAUAUAUCUCAUUGAAUAUAUUAAGAGUUUAGGCAUGACAUUAUAUGUUGAGUUGAAGUUCAUGAACCACAUCAAACAAGUUGAAAUUUCAAGGAUACUAUUAUAUAUUAUAUCGAAGUUCAUGGACCAUUUGUAUAAUUAGUCAUUUUAAAUUGCUAUCCACAAUAGCAAAUUAGAUAAGUUUACUUACCAAAUUGCAAUAUUUUCAUAUAAAAAAGUUACCAAAUCCAAGGCUUACUAAAUGGCUCACAUCUCUACCACUGUGAUGGUUGAUCGAGUGGUUCAAGAGUUGAUUUGCAAUUUGAAAGCCAUAGUUUUAUUUCGCAAGUCCAUUCUUUUUCUUAGGGAACUUUGGCUAGUCUGCGAAGGGUGAGCUUAGAUUUCGGUUUCGCAUUAUGGUGGGGGUUAUGAUGAUGGGUUUGCCCGGUCGACAGCUAGUGCCAUAUUGGUAUUUUAGAUCAAACAUUCCAGCAGUGACCAAGGCGAGUCUUUGUUCAAUUUAAACCCUUUUAAUAGGAUUAGGAUGACCCGUGUGUGCGUGUGUACAUAUAUGUGUCCUUUUUCACUCAUUCCCAUUAAUUCCCCAUCAUUUCCACCACCGCCCGUUUAAUUGAAAAGGCAGCAAUGCAACAUGUUUCGUUACCAAUUUUCAUUUUCAAUUCGCCUCUAAGAAAGCGGUGUCGAGAAAGGGAAUGCCACUUAUAUAUCACAUAUGGUGGUUCCAACUUCAAUAACCAUACUUGCCCUCUAUGCCAUGCACAAUGAGGAGAUCUAUAUGAAUCGGAUUAUUGUGACAGACUAGUUAAGGUAAAAUUUUCUAAAAAAUCUUAAAUUUAUUACACAUUUUUAAUUUGGCUUUAAACUUUUUAAUUGUACCAAUUAGAUCUUAAACAUUUAGGAAAAGACCACCAAAAACCCCAAAUUUUGCCCAAAGUGACAAAUUUAUCCUAAACGUUUUUUUUUUUUUUGUGAUAUGAAAAACCUCAAACUUUGCAAAUUGGGAUACAUUUACCCGAUUAAGGGCAUUUUCGUCUUAUUAUUAUUAUUAUUAUUAUUAUUAUUAUUAUUAUUAUUAUUUAUGUUUUUCCUUUUUCUUUCUUCCCUCUGUUGGCCAUGGUGAAGGGAAGCCGGCGUCCGAUGAGGGCUGCCCUCAUCGGCGUCGGGCGAGAGUCACCCUCGCCGGCGUCGAGCAGCCCUCGUCGACGUCGGGCGAGGGCCUCCCUUGAUAGAUUUGGCGAGGGCACCCCUUGCUCGACCUAAUCGAGGGCCGCCUUCGCCUGACGCCGGUGAGGGCGGCCCUAGCCAACCUAGGCAAGAGCGACACUCCCCCAAUGCCGACGAGGGCAGCCCUCACUGGAUGCCGGCUUCCCUCUGCCGGCUCUGCCAUGGCCGGUGAAGGGAAGAGAGAAGAAGAAAAUAAUAAAAAGAUAAAGAAAAAAAAUCUUAAAAAGAAAAAAAGACCAAAAUGUCCUAUAAUUUAGGGUAAAUGUGUUACACGGAUAGAAAUUCAGGGUUUUUUGUGUCAUGAAAAAAAGUUUGAGGUAAAUGUGUCACAAUUGGCAAAUUUCGGGAUUUUUCAUGUCAACAAAAAAGUUCGGGAUAAAUUUAUCAUUUUGAGCAAAGUUUGGAGUUUUUGUGAUUUUUUCCCUAAACAUUUUUAUGUUUUAUCAAUUAAGUCUAUGUAACCAAUUUUGACCAGUAAUUGUUGACAUGUAUAUCAAUCAUCUAUUGUAGCACAACAUGAAAUUUUUUAAGUUUUUUAAAAAUUAAUAAAAAAAAUCCAAAAGAUAUUAAAAUAUUAAUAGAAGAAAAAAGGAAAAAUAAAAGAAGAAUUAGUAAUAAUAAAGAUUAAAAAAAAAUAUUCACAUCAACAUCGGCCAUAUCACGUGGGACGGUCAAUGUCCAUAUUAGUGAUUUUUAGCCAAAAUUAAUUGAAUGGAUUCAAUUGCCAAAAUAUGAAAAAUGUUUAGGAUGCAAUUAAUAUAACUAAAUAUUCAGAACCGAAUUGACAAAUGCUGAAAACUCAAAACUUGUUCCUACUAGUAUUGGGCUUUCAACCUUUUCAAUGUUGGCUUUCACUUGAAAAUUACUUCAAAAUAAUUGUCAAAUGGUCCAACAUUUCUUCAAUAGUCUUUGUAGGCUAAAAACUCAUUGGAAAUGCUGAACUAAACGCACCCUUAAUUAGAGAUUACUCGUGUGUGCGUGUGUACAUAUGUGUGUCCUUUUUCACUCAUUCCCAUUAAUUCCCCAUCAUUUCCACCACCGCCCAUUUUAUUGAAAAGACAGCAAUGCAGCAUGUUUCAUUAACAAUUUUCACUUUCAAUUCGCCUCUAAGAAAGCGGUGUCGAGAAAGAGAAUGCCACUUGUAUAUAACAUAUCAUGAUUCCAACUUCAACAAUCAUAUUUGCACUCCAUGCCAUGCAUUAUGAGGAGAUCUACAUGAAUCGGAUUUUCGCGACAAACUACUUAAGAUAAAAUUUUCUAAAAAAUCUUAAACUUAUUACACUUUUUUUAAUUUAAUUCUAAACUUUUUAAUUAUACUAAUUAGAUUUUAAAUAUUUUCACGUUUUACCAAUUAAGUCUAUCCAACCAAUUUUGGCCAAUGAUCAUUGACGUGUAUACCAACCAUCUAAUGUGGCACAUACGGUGUCGACAUGGAAAUUUUUUAAUAAUAUUUUGAAAAUUAAUAAAAAAUCCAAGGAAUAUUAAAAUAUUAAUAGAAGAAAAAGGAAAAAUAAAUGAAAAAUUAGUAAUAAUAAAAAUUCAAAAAAAUAUUAACGUCAACAUUGGGCAUUAGUGAUUUUUCGCCAAAAUUAACCGAGUGAAUUCAAUUGCCAAAAUAUGAAAAAUGUUUAGGAUUCAAUUAAUACAACUAAAAUAUUUAGAAGUGAAUUAACAAAAACACAAUCAGUUUAGGUUUUUUUGAAAAAUAUUUAAGAGACAUUAUUUGGGUAUCUCUUACUUAUAAACCACUUUAACAAAGCAUCUCCUCUUGGGUGUCGGCUUUGCGUGCUACACCACGUCUAUUGACCUUUAUGCAAUGUGAUGCUUAAUUAUUGUACGGACAUAUCAAGCACCACUUUAUAUAUAUUGUUCUAAAUUUGGAUCUAAACGCAACUUACUCAUGAUAAUUUGAUUGUUGAGUACAUUUAAAUUAAAUAACAAAUCCUGAGUUGAUGUGAAGUGAUCAAAGCUGGACGACUAAAGAAAGCCGGUUGAAUAGAGCACAAGAGUUCUGCUAUAAUUAUUUCAGGGCUAAUUCCAUAAAAAAAGCAUCAACUUUAGGUUGAUGGACAAAUCUGGCCAAAACUUUUUUUUGUCUCAUUAAAAAGCACAAACUUUAGGUCGAGGGAUAAAUCUGGCCUGAACUUUUUUUUGUCUCAUAAAAAAGCACCAACUCUAGGUUAAGUGACAAUUUUGGCCCCAAUUUUUUUUUCUCAUAAAAAAUUACAAACUUUCGCUCCUAUCCAAAAUCUAACCCCUACCAUUAACUUUCUAUUUGAAGUUAACCUUAUUUCAAGAGAAAAUGUUCUAGCUAUGAGAUUGGUGGAUCUCAUCUGUGGUUUCUCUUAACAGGCGGUGAUCUACAGCUUCAUAUUACGACAAAAUGAUAAAGUAUAGCUAGAGAAAUUCAAUCUGUAGAUUUUUUUACUUAUGAGAUGACACAGUUUCACGUUAUUCUUCAAGCUGUAGCUCAAACAAGAAGACAAUUAACGGUGUUAGCCAGUAAGUGCACAUGGAUUUAUUGAUAAAAACAAUCAAUAAAUUUAAGUUAAGGGGGGCCAGAUUUAGGAUUUAAGUGAAAGUUGGUGAUUUUUUUCGAAACAAAAAAAAAAUGGGCCAAAAUUGUCACUCGACCUAAAGUUGAUGCUUUUUUACGUGACAAGAAAAAGUUCGGGCCAGAUUUGUCACUUGACCUAAAGUUUGUGCUUUUUUAUGAGACAAAAAAAAGUUCGGGCCAAAUUUGCCCAUCGACCUAAAGUUGGUGCUUUUUUUUGGAAUUAACCCAAUUAUUUCGAGGAGGUAAUUUUUAAAAUAAAUAUUUCAUUAAAGUGAAAAUCAUUCUUUUCAAGAACCAAAAGGUGGAAGGUUGGGGGGCUUCUUGCCACAAAAAUCAAUGUGCGUUCCAAGAAAGGAAGAAAACAAUUCUUCUGGAAAAUAUCGUAAUGAGAUUUUUUUCAAACCAUUAAUUGUGUAGCUAAAGUUUAAUUACCCUACCUCAGCGGUCGCUACAAGUUGAGGUUGGCAGUUUGGGGAGAGGGAAAAGAAAAGUAUCUUUUAAAAGUAGGAGAGCAUCUUCCCAUUAAUUAUACAAUAGGUGAAUAAUUAUGAAGAAAAGCACCCCGCAUAAAAUUUAGAUUUUCGCGAAAUACUCAUUUUAUUGCAUUCACUUAAUUCAUAUUAGCGUAUUGCAUGCUGCUCUCUUAGUAUUUUUUUUUAGGGGAAAUUAAUUUUAAAAAAUGUUUUCUUAAUUUUCAUUAUCGAUAAUAAUUUAUGCCUAAACACCUUUGUGAAUGAUAGAAUUUUUUUUGUUCUUUUAUUUUUGUCGGUGAUAUAAACAACCGUUUUUAGGAAAAUGUUUUGUAUAAUAUGAAUGACUUUGAAAACAUUUUCCAAAAAAUGAUCUUUUGUAUUGCUUGAAAUAAUUAGUCAAUAAAUAUGUUUUUAUUAUCAAUAAUAAUUUGCAUCUAAACAUUUUUUUGUAGAUAUGAUGAAAAUAAUUUUAUUUUAUUUAUUUUUUAAGUAAUAUGAAAGAUUAGUUUUAGGAAAAUAUUUUCUAAAUUAUUUGUUUUUCUCAAAAUUAACGAAGCCUUAGAGUAAGAUAGGUUUCACGUUGAUCUCUCUUAUCUGACGGGUUAAAUGUAUUGUGCUCACAUUAGUCGGGUUUAUACAAAUAAUCAGACUCCCUUUUUUUUUUUUGGGUGUAUUUUGCAUCUUAUCUAAUUAUCCACCAAAGUUGACCAUUGAACAUUUCAAUAUUACGAUAGACCGAUUCCAAGCUAUGCAGCAUGCUCGCAUAGCGCUUUCUUUCUUCUAUUUUCAAGGGGUCCGCGUUCCCCUAACUCUUUAUUUAUAUGAGAGACAUUAGUAAAUAAAACUAGUAAUUCCAUAUCAAAGCUUUUUCGUCGAGCGCUUUCAAAGGGACUUUCAUUCUAAAAAUGGAUAGUCAAUUGUUUGAAUCCCACCCGACAUAACCCUUUUCAUUAUUCUAUUGUACUUAUCUUGUCACUUGAUACGUAUAAAUAAAUAAGAAAUGAAACAAAUUAUCCUAAUCGUAAAAAUUCGAGUAUAUUCCUAAGUCACUUUCAUCAAUUACACAGCUGUAUAAUUAAGAAAAAAACGAAACGAAUAAGAUAAUUGUGUAGAUCUACGUUAGCCAUGACAUGCUAGGGGCAUUGCACCCGACCCGAACCCAACCCAAAAAUCUUGUCACGCGAGAUUUAUCAAAUAUCUAAAGAGAGAGAUUAUUCUUUUUGGAGAACACAGGUGAAAAUCAUAACGGCAAGAACAUUUGGACCGGACAUCUUAGUCCAAGUCUAUUUCGACACAAAAAGGAGAAAUAUUUUAUUUCUUCCAUCUGGGCCUGUCGCUUUCGGGGGGGUUAACGAAGAAGGGGGUUGGUGGCCCUCUCUCUGUAGCUGAAGAUGAUGAUGCUAGCGGCCAGCGAGCGGCGACGCGUCGACCCACCAACCGGGACGCCAAACGCCUCGCGAGAGCGCGACGUGAACUGAAGAAAACUGCAACUCCAAACCCAUCUCUCUCUCUCUCUCUCUCUUGCGGUUGCACGUUCUUGAAUGCCAUCUGGGUCGUCGGCGAUGGCGCCGGAACUGAUUUUAUCUGAUCGUGGCACUGCCUCGAUCGCCAUGGACAUUCAAACUCUAGAACAGAGGUGCGCCUUCUUGUCUCCCCGCCUCGUUUUCAUUUCUCGUUGCCUGUUCUGAACCCGGUGCGUUGAGCUUCGUUGCUUCCGCCGGUAAAUUUACGUUUUUUUGGCCCCUGUAAACGUUCUUUCGUGGGAAUUCGGCUGAUUGAGCUGCAACCCAGUUCUUGUUUUUGCCUCUUCUCGGGUGCUGCCUGGCUGUUGAACGUCUCUUUGGGUAAAAGAAGGGUCCUUGUUAGUUCGUGUUUUCGGAAGAAUGUUAAUUCGACCGAGGGAGGUGAAAGAUUCUGCUGAAUUUGAUCGGCCUUUCUUGGUUCGUCUACUUGAUUUGGCCACUUAACUUACUGAUGUAAUUGAGAUUGUUAUCAUCGUUUAAAUUGCUUGUGUUCGUCAUUGGCCAAUGCUCAUUUGCUGAAAAGGCGAAUGCCGAGUUGGCAGGGGAUACAUUUCUUGGACACGGAAAGAGUAUAGACGUGUGGGAAUGUGUUUGGGACUCUGUAGUUUGCUAUGUUUUGAUCUUCUCGUUGUAAUUGGGGAAGUCUGGGUUCUUAUGGUCAUCACCGGAUGAUAUUAUUUUGUCUGGCCUCGUACCCUUUAUCUAUUGAGUGAACAAGGAGUGUUAUGCAAAACCUUAUUUUGAAUGUGAAGAUAUCAUUUUUCACAAAUGUUUUAGAUUCUGGGGUUCAUUGUUUUGGUUCAUCUGUGCUGAUCAUUUUCCCUUGUGAACUGUGUUGACUUGCGUCACCGUCACACUAUAGUUCGUUCGACACAGGGAGUGGCCUCAGGAAGCUGCUUGUUAAUCUCUAGGAUGAUUGUGGCUUCUAAGAAAUCUGAUCACUUUAGCCUUGUGACCACAUCUUUUUGGUUGAUAUAAUCAUAUAAUACUGCUCAUAGUUUUCUAUCUCUUCUUUUAUUUAGAAUGAUAGAGUGAGGUGCAGUGAAGAAGUGAUAGGAUGCUUUCUGGUUAGAUGUAGUGAUAUAGGUUCCUUUUUGCAGUGGUUCUUUGAAUCAUGUUUGUUAGAAGCCUAGGUCGCAGAUCUUUUUCAGUUUCACCGGUAAUAGGAGACCCGGAAAUUUGGUGUUAGGAACCUUUUGGGUCAGGGGGAUGUUGCUAGAAGGAUGAGUUUCGUGCAUUUUUAAUGAUCUCCAAAUAUGAGUCGGUGUCGGUUGUUGCACUCUCUACAUAUCCAGGAACUGGGAAUCUAGAAAUGUUGUAUAAACUUUUAGGUAUAGUCAGAUGAAUUAAGUGCUGAGAGAUGAUAUUUUCAGUGAUUGGAAGGAAGGGUAGUUGAAUAAGGAAACUAUUAUCACUUGGAAGCAAUCACUGAAGGCAUCAUAGAAAAGAUACAUAAAUACAAUAGAUAAUUGGUGGAAUUUGAUGAGAGUAUCAGUCUAUAACAAAUAAUUAUGGGUUUGGCAGCUUUUUUAUUCACCAUUAUGGAUUUUGUCAUCUGCUGAGACUGUUUAAGGGUUUAAAAGAGGGCAAACCACAAUAAAGGUUUUCAUAAAGCUGGAGGACUUUAUUUACCCUUUGGUUCAUCAUCUUUAGACUUGUUCAUCUAGUCAUUUCCUUUUCGGCUAUUAGUUGGUCAUUUCACCAAGUAAUCUAGCAAUAUAAUUUUUCUUCAGGAUCUUGAUUCCAGUGGCUGAUUGAUCUUUUGAAAUUAUUAAUAACAUUCUUUUUUGGUUCAGAUAUAUUACUCGGUGCAAAGACCAUGAUGUCCAUCCUAAUCCUACAAUAUUGUCCGGCUUCUCCAAGGUUGGUGUUAAAUAUGGUAAUUCUUUAUUAGAAAUCUGCAUAUUAAACCUUCUCCUGUUUUUCUCCCCUCGUCAGAUGUGGAAACUGUAGAAGGUAGCUUUUGGAUCAUUUUCCCAUGAAGAGAUAAUUCUUGGAUAAUGGGAACUUGGACUAGUGACAUCUCUGUUGCAUUCUUGUAAUCUGGAAGUUGUCACUUGUCAGUGCUUAGAUAUACUAAACAAUACAGAUAUAAGCUAUUGUGGAAGCGGAAGUUAGGGAAUCAAAUCCCUUAUUUUCAACCUCUCUUGCAGUUUCUUCUAGUACUAAUGAAGAGUUCUCAAUGGGGAAAUUUGUCUCUACAAGCAGCUAUACUUCAAUUAUUUUGUUGAACACUAAUAUGGAUUUUGCAGAAUGUGUUUAUGAAAGAUAGUGGUCACAACAAUGUUUGGGCAAAGAAAUAUUGGCUUUGUAUUUAAGUCAUUGUACUAAACUGAAUGGGAUAUUGGGAUAUUGAGGCCGAAGAGAAAUACUUUUACAAUUACAAUCAACAACUUUCAUGUCUUAUGAAAUGAUUCUGGUCAUUACAGGCAGUCAGAAUGCCCAGUUCUCUAGUUUGCGCAUUCUUUCAUGAAUUUGGAUUUCACAUGAUCUUUUUCUUUACUAGAAUUCUCACCAGUCUCCUUAUAGGAUCAUGUUAUAUUCAGUGAACUUAUGUUAGCAUCUUGAGGAUAUGCCCAACUUAACUGAACUCACAAUAUCUUGGAGAUAAUAAGUUGUGUUGACUUUCCGUUUAUGCCUCCUAAAUCCCAGGUCAAAGGAAUAAUACAUUCUUUUUUGGUGCUUAUCUUAGUUUUUUGGGAGCUUGUUCUUACCUUCUUCCUACCUUGUUCAACAAUACAUUAUAGUUAAAAUAUUUGUCUCGUCUCCUAAACUUAAAACUCUGCCAUUGCGUAUUCCCCUUCUCAUGAGAAGUAAUUAUCUGUCCAGAGUAAAACUCAUUCUUUAUUGUAGGUUUCUGGGCACUUUAUUUUAUCAUAUAUCUGCGUUUUUGCCCAAAUUUAUUCAAUUAUUUCUUCUCUUUCAUUCUGUUGCCUGCCUUGUUCUGCAGCCUGCCUGCAAUGUCCCCAUUCUCUGACUCUGCUACCAUAAUUUUCUCUGAUCCUUUGUCCUCUUGUUCUUUUACUUGUUUACUAUGCGAAUGUCAAUUUAUGGUGAUGAAAAUCAAAUUUUCUCAGAAGUUGAAUAUGUCUCUCUUGUACUACUGUUGGGACUAGUACACUCCAGGUGCUUUCGCCCUCUCUUGUUUUCUCCCUUGGGUGGGGGCGAAAUCUCCAAGGGUCCUCCUUUUCAUGUGAUUAUUCUGGAUUGAGUCUCACUGCUGGCUCAUUUCUGCUCACUUGUUUGCUCAUCUAAGAUAUCUGAUAUGAUUCCUGCUCUAGUCUUUGGCUUGGCCUUUUGGGUGGUGAAUUUGCUCAAGUUAGUGAAAAAGGUUCUUCUAUCUUUUUUUCUUCUAUUCAUCAAAUUCACCAUCUCUUCCGUAGUCAAUAAUAAUAACUGAAGCCCCCUUUAUCAACUUGUACUGCUUUGAUAAUGCCAUUGUGCUAAUCAGUUAGUGGAAAGAAACUUUGUUAGUUCAAGUCAUUGGAACCCUAAUUAGUGACUUUGCCUACAUGCUUGUUUCUUGGUCUCUCUAUCGUGUGCUUUUGGAUUUGCAUGUGCACAUGCUGGAGCAUGGUGCAUGCGCAUGUUCAUAUCAUGGUUUUUUUUUAGUGGUAAUACUGGUCAAAUCGGAUUUUGAUUUUUAACACUUUUUAGCACCACACAUCUUGGUAAUAUCUAUCAUACAAUUGUGUUAGGAUGUUCAGUUAACUUACUUUCUAUAAUGGACUUUAUUAUAAUUUUCUUCGUUCAAUUGAAUCUCUUUAAGCAUGUUUUCUUUGUUUAUUUUCUGCUCUAGAGGGGUGCUUCCUAAAGCUCAUUCUUCCUUUUUCUUUUAUGUGCAGGCUGAGGUAAAAAAAACUUGCCAUGAGUUAUGUAUACUAGAGAUCAUGCUAGACCAUCUCAAGGACAUGGAUCUCCAUCCACUACUUGAUGUAGUGGUCGACAUUGAGGCAUCUGAAAUUGAAGCAGUUGACAUAUAUAAUAAAUCAUCAGGUGAAUUAAAGGGAGAGUAUGCAUUAUUGCUGAUGCGUGCCCUGAAUAAAAAACUCCGUGUGGUUGAUCUCCAGGAUAUCUCCUUGGGAAAGGACUUUUGCCGGUACAUCCUAAUCUCCUUUUUAUCUCAGGAAGUUAUGGAAAUUUGACAACAUCACAUGCAUGGUCUAUUAUGAUUUUAAGUCCAAAGUUUUUGUUAUAAGGAUUGUGCACUUGAUAAACAAGUUUUGAGCAGUUUCGAAGUGCGGUAACUUAGAAACAGAUUACUUGAUAUCUUUGGCUGUGAGGGCUUUGGGUCAGAUUCUGGAGAGUUGAUCUUGGUUUUCUUUUAGGUUUUGCAUUCAAUAUGCUGCUUUAAACCUGAGUAGGUAGGUAUCACUGAAAUAGGGGAAAAAAAAUGCAAACUGGAGGCACUGGAGCAAGCCAUUUUAUGUUUCAAGGCAAUUUUUGCUUCCAUUCAAGUGCCCAUAGCUUUGUUAAA